GAUGAACGCUGGCGGCGUGGAUAAGGCAUGCAAGUCGAACGAUACGGCUAAGAUUACAUCAAGGCCGUAUAGUGGCGAACGAGUCAGUAACACCCUGGUAACCUACCACCAAGACGGGAAUAACCCCGCGAAAGCGGGGCUAAUACCCGAUGUGGCCAAGUUGUCGUCAGACAAUUUGGUUAAAGGAGCAAUCCGCUUGGUGAUGGGCCUAGGUCCGAUCAGCUAGUUGGUGAGGUAAUGGCUCACCAAGGCUACGACCGGUAGGGGGCUGAGAGGCUGUUCCCCGACGACGAGACUGAGACACGGCUCGUACUCCUACGGGAGGCAGCAUG
rnacentral:rRNA from 1 species